CCUACGGGAGGCUGCAGUAGGGAAUUUUCGGCAAUGGGGGGAACCCUGACCGAGCAACGCCGCGUGAACGAAGAAGUUAUUCGUAAUGUAAAGUUCUUUUAACAGGGAAGAAAGAGAAAUUUGACGGUACCUGAAGAAUAAGCUCCGGCUAACUACGUGCCAGCAGCCGCGGUAAUACGUAGGGAGCGAGCGUUAUCCGGAAUUAUUGGGCGAAAAGGGUGCGUAGAUGGCAUAGUAAGUCUUUUGUAAAAAUGCUGGGCUCAACCCAGUAGGGCAAAAGAUACUGCAAAGCUAGAGUAUGACAGAGGAGAGUGGAACUACAUGUGUAGCGGUAAAAUGCGUAAAUAUAUGGAAGAACACCAGUGGCGAAGGCGGCUUGCUGGGUCGAUACUGACAUUGAGGCACGAAAGCGUGGGGAGCAAACAGGAUUAGAUACCCGAGUAGUG
rnacentral:rRNA from 1 species